AUUUUAUUAAUAUAAAUAGUAUAUUUGAUUUCCAAUCAAAAAGUUUAAUCUUUAAAUAAAAUA
rnacentral:tRNA from 1 species